rnacentral:rRNA from 1 species
GACGAACGCUGGCGGCGUGCUUAACACAUGCAAGUCGAACGGAAAGGCCUCUUUCGGGGGGUACUCGAGUGGCGAACGGGUGAGUAACACGUGAGUAACCUGCCCUUGACUUUGGGAUAACUUCAGGAAACUGGGGCUAAUACCGGAUAGGAGCUCCUGCUGCAUGGUGGGGGUUGGAAAGUUUCGGCGGUUGGGGAUGGACUCGCGGCUUAUCAGCUUGUUGGUGGGGUAGUGGCUUACCAAGGCUUUGACGGGUAGCCGGCCUGAGAGGGUGACCGGCCACAUUGGGGCUGAGAUACGGCCCAGACUCCUACGGGAGGCAGCAGUGGGGAAUAUUGCACAAUGGGUGGAAGCCUGAUGCAGCAACGCCGUGUGCGGGAGGACGGCCUUCGGGUUGUAAACCGCUUUCGCUCAUGACGAAGCUUUGUGUGACGGUAGUGGGUAAAGAAGCACCGGCUAACUACGUG